AAGAAUUUGGACCAUGCUCAAGGCAAGUUACAGCUGGAUCCUAUUAUAGGAAUCAAUCUUUUCUCACCAAUGACUGUUUACAUCCAUGAAGCUUUUCAGUAAAUUCAUUCAAUCAAAAGCAGUUUUCGAUGCUUGGCAAAUAUUAGAUUACACAUAAUAUACUUGUAAUGUUAGCAGAGAAAAGAGGAUGACACACACCCAGGCCACUCUUCAGAGCAGCUGCUGUGUCCACCCAGCCUGAGGCAUGUCUCUGUGUAGAUUGAUGGGACUUACUUUAGUGCACUAAUGCUGACACAUUUACUUAUCAUUCAUGAUAAUCACUUCUGCUGCUUCAGGGAGAAAUUUUUCUAAGCACCUAAGUAUUUGGGGGAUUAAUUACGGUGUGCUGAAAAGGAGGAAGGCACUUUUGGGGUGAUACAGCAGUGUUUGUCAAGACUCUGGUCCAGAUAAUCUAAUUUAUUCUUUUGUUCAAUUAGAGUAACUUGUCUGUGUCCUCAUUGUUCUUUGUCUCAAACUGGAGCAGUGGUGUUUUCUUAAAAAAAAAAAUGUUGUUUUGGGCCAGUAGGCAAAGUGCUUGAGUUCAUAGCUUAUCACCCAUGUAGAACGCUAUGCAUGGCUGUGAGUAUCUCUAACUCCAGGACUGAGGAGACAGAGAAAGAUCCUCUCUGGAACUCAAUAGCUAGUUGGCCUAGCCAAAAUGGCAAGUUGCAGGUUCAGCGAUGAGAAACUAUUUCAAAAUGAAUAUGCAUGUGAUAUAAGAAUAUGAGGAAGAGCCACGAAUGGAAAAACAACAGUAUGGCAAGAGCCAGACAAAGCAAAUUCAAAAUCUCUAUUUCAAAUGUGGCUACCUCCCCCAACUCACUCUCUCUCUCUCUCUCUCACUCACACACACACACACACACACACACACACACACACACACACACACACACACAGACACACACACGAGCUUGCAUAUAUUUUCUCUUGAUACGUUAAGGGGUUCAGGGAGAUGCAUAAUACCUGGUAGAGACUCAUAAUGGAUAAUACAAAGGUGACAAGAUGAUAGCCAAAGCUCCUGUUGAACAGAUCAGGUGGAUACAUCGCCACUUUCCAAAUAACUGUAGUGGAUGAGCUGAAUUCCCUCUGUUAACCCCACCAUCCCGACUCCUUUUCCAUGGGUGUGCUUUUGUCAGAGUCCUGUUUGAUCUUCAUGCUGACUAGAUGGUAAGUGCUCAGACAGCCUAGGAGGCGGGGAGGAAAGGUGUGGGUUACACUGAUCUGGCCCACAGCUUCUUAUGGAGCACACUGCUUUUCAAAGUCACUUCUAGAUGCUCUUCAGGAACGCCACAGGACUGUUGACUGCUUUUAGUGAAGCAACAAGGAACCAAUGAAGAAAAGAAGCUUAAUGGAGUCAAACUCCACAGGGAUGGCAGAAGGAAGAGCUGGCUCUGUGUUAUGCAAGAACCAAUCCAGAAGACUUCUAGAGAAUUCUGUCCUAGAGAUGAGUGGGCACAAAUCCAUGUUGGCUAUAUUAUUCACAGCUUUCCACAAAUCAUCUCAGUAUCCCAGAAACAACUCCUACCUACCAGCAAGUGCUAUUUUAAAAAUGCAUUUCGGAAUAUUUGGCACAAAAACUGUAGCCUCCCUGCUUUUGUGAGGUAUUGUUUGCCCUGCCUUAAAAGCCACAGUAAAUCUCAAAUGUACACACACAUACAUUCUCUCUCUCUCCCUCUCUCUCUCUCUCUCUCUCUCUCUCUCUCUCUCUCUCUCUCUCUCUUUCUCUCUCUCUCUCUCUCUCCUCCUUCCUUCUCCCUCCCUUUUCUCUCCUCCCCCUCUGCCUCCCUUCCUUCUCCUCCCUCCCUCUCCCUCCCUUUUCUCUCCUCCCCCUCUGCCUCCCUUCCUUCUCCUCCCUCCCUCUCCCUCCCUCUUUCUCUCCUCCCCCUCUGCCUCCCUCCCUUCCUCUCUCCACAUUUUGUGUGUGUCUGUGUGUGUGUGUGUGACACAAUGUAGUAUGGUGGUCAGAGAGCCAUUUGUGGAAAGCAGUUAUCACCUUUGACCCUGUAGUUCCCAGGGACCAAGAUUGGGUCCUCAGGCUAGGCAGCAAGUGCCUCUACCAGCUGAGCCAUCUUGCUGGCCCAUUUUUCCUCUCUACUGGUGGGUUGUGUACACUGGCACCAUGAGAAAUUGGUGCCAUUGACUGUCUGUGCUAGUCUUCCUGCUAUAAUGCACAAAGCAAACAGGUCCUGAAAACACAGUCAUCUCCCAGAACUUUCUCACGGGCAUCCUGACAGUUGUAUCCAUGGGACAUCAGUUCACUUCUAUUCUCCCUUUUUAUUUUCUUGUUGACCUUGGCUUUUCUGAAGCACCUCAAUGACCUGUUCUAACUUCAGCAUUUGAAGCUUUUUUUUUUUUAAUUUUGCUGACAUCAGUAUUCUCUCUGCUCUGAACCACUGACCUAGCUUCCCUCUCUAGGGCAUCCAUGAAUCUCUUUAUUUGCUUCUAUUUUCUCUUUCCACUGGUUAUCUCACUGGAAAAGGUAUCAGAGUGUAGUUAACGUUGCUCAACACCUAGUCUCCUCAAUAUGCCACCUGCUAAAUUCAGUUACAUUAAGGUUUAAUUGCAUCUCAAUGGAUUAUGGCUGUAUACAUAACUGUGUUGGUCAUGUAAUGUGUCUUCAGUAAGGUGAAAACAUGCCACAUUAUCUAGCAACAAAUUGGGACAAGGGAAAGGAUGUCAUCUCUUCAGCUAAAAUCAUACUAUUUAUUAAUUCAUUCAAUAUUUAUUGAACUCCUAGUAUAUAAUAGGCAUUUACUGAGCUCUCAUGUAUUGAAUGUAAGUUGGUGAAUAAAAUAUACCUAGACCCUGUCUUUGAAAAGUAGGAAGUCUGUCGUGACAAAGACAGUAGAUAGGAUCCACAACCAUAUGUAUGGAUAUAGAGUAAUGUUGUUGAGGAUUACCCAGAAAAGCAACUUGGGGGAGGUCAGUAGGGUUGCCAGAUUAAGCCAGUGAAAACACUUAGGCUCUGUUAAAUGGGAACUACAGAUGAGCAAUACAUGUUUUUUAUAUAAACAUGGUCCAAGCACUUCCUGGUAUGUGGAUAUAUAUAAAAUGUAUUCAUUGUUUUUCUGAAAUUAAAAUGUAACUGAGUCCUUUAUUUUAUCUAGCUAUCUAA
rnacentral:lncRNA from 1 species